rnacentral:rRNA from 1 species
GUCCGCCGCCCGCGACUCGGCGAGAAGUCCAUUGAACCUUAUCAUUUAGAGGAAGGAGAAGUCGUAACAAGGUUUCCGUAGGUGAACCUGCGGAAGGAUCAUUG